rnacentral:rRNA from 1 species
GAGACUGAGAGCGGCGCACGGGUGCGGAACACGUGUGCAACCUGCCUUUAUCAGGGGGAUAGCCUUUCGAAAGGAAGAUUAAUACCCCAUAAUAUUUUGAGUGGCAUCACUUAAAAUUGAAAACUCCGGUGGAUAAAGAUGGGCACGCGCAAGAUUAGAUAGUUGGUGAGGUAACGGCUCACCAAGUCUACGAUCUUUAGGGGGCCUGAGAGGGUGAUCCCCCACACUGGUACUGAGACACGGACCAGACUCCUACGGGAGGCAGCAGUGAGGAAUAUUGGACAAUGGGUGAGAGCCUGAUCCAGCCAUCCCGCGUGAAGGACGACGGCCCUAUGGGUUGUAAACUUCUUUUGUAUAGGGAUAAACCUUUCCACGUGUGGAAAGCUGAAGGUACUAUACGAAUAAGCACCGGCUAACUCCGUGCCAGCAGCCGCGGUAAUACGGAGGGUGCAAGCGUUAUCCGGAUUUAUUGGGUUUAAAGGGUCCGUAGGCGGAUCUGUAAGUCAGUGGUGAAAUCUCACAACUUAACUGUGAAACUGCCAUUGAUACUGCAGGUCUUGAGUGUUGUUGAAGUAGCUGGAAUAAGUAGUGUAGCGGUGAAAUGCAUAGAUAUUACUUCGUUUUUUGGGUUUUCGGAUUCAGAGACUAAGCGAAAGUGAUAAGUUAGCCACCUGGGGAGUACGGACGCAAGUCUGAAACUCAAAGGAAUUGACGGGGGCCCGCACAAGCGGUGGAUUAUGUGGUUUAAUUCGAUGAUACGCGAGGAACCUUACCAAGGCUUAAAUGGGAAAUGACAGGUUUAGAAAUAGACUUUUCUUCGGACAUUUUUCAAGGUGCUGCAUGGUUGUCGUCAGCUCGUGCCGUGAGGUGUUAGGUUAAGUCCUACAACGAGCGCAACCCCUGUCACUAGUUGCCAUCAUUCAGUUGGGGACUCUAGUGAGACUGCCUACGCAAGUAGAGAGGAAGGUGGGGAUGACGUCAAAUCAUCACGGCCCUUACGCCUUGGGCCACACACGUAAUACAAUGGCCAGUACAGAGGGCAGCUACCAGGCGACUGGAUGCGAAUCUCGAAAGCUGGUCUCAGUUCGGAUUGGAGUCUGCAACUCGACUCUAUGAAGCUGGAAUCGCUAGUAAUCGCGCAUCAGCCAUGGCGCGGUGAAUACGUUCCCGGGCCUUGUACACACCGCCCGUCAAGCCAUGGAAGUCUGGGGUACCUGAAGUCGGUGACCGUAACAGGAGCUGCCUAGGGUAAAACAGG